UACGUAUGUGGCAAGCGUUGUCCGGAAUUAUUGGGCGUAAAGGGUACGUAGGCGGUUAUUUAAGUCUAAAUUAAAAGGCAUUGGCUCAACCAAUGUAAGGUUUAGAUACUGGAUAACUUGAGUAGAUGAGGGGAAAGUGGAAUUCCAUGUGUAGCGGUGAAAUGCGUAGAUAUAUGGAGGAACACCAAUGGCGAAGGCAACUUUCUGGAAUCAAACUGACGCUGAGGUACGAAGGCGUGGGGAGCAAACAGG
rnacentral:rRNA from 1 species